rnacentral:lncRNA from 1 species
AGUUUAUGAAAAAAGUCGUUGAAUACCCAAGUAUUACAUAGGAUUAAAUUCUCGUCAUUUUUUUUUCUGAAGUUCUAAUUAUGACAAUGGUGCACAAGGAUUAUGAUUAUUACUAUGAAUUUCCUUCUUUUUCUCCUUCCUUUUUUCAUCGUAGACAGUGAAAAUAGAUUAAUCUAACAGCUUUUACAUUGUGGUCUGUGGACCAGACCUGGAUUGUAAGACUUUUUAUUUCAGCAGUUUUGUUGUUCAAGAACUGACAUUUCCUUCUACUUCUGGCCAUGCUUUUUCAUUUUCUGAAUGAGUAAACUUAAAGUAGAGAAUACUAAUCAAGUGUAUCCAUUUUUAUGUCCAGCUUAACAUUUACAUUAAAGCAAAAAUGACAACAGAACUGCAGAGGUAACAACUUCACUAAAGAUGGAGUCAUCCAAGGAAGACAGAAGUGGCAAUAGUCAGGAAAAGAAAUCUGGGACAUCCGUGCUUUGGGCAUCCAGUAAGGAUGAGGAAGCAGCACAGGUACUUCAUAAUCAGAUAUGUCCAUCAGAACUUCCAGUCUGGUUCCAAGGAAGAUCUUCUAGAUUUCUAGAUGAUUGAAAAUUGAUGUUAAAAAUGCUCUUAGUCAUGCAUCUGAUCCAUGGAAAAUGUCACUUACAAUAGAGGAAAUAUUCUAACUUCUUUGUUCUUUUUGCUCUGUUCGGACUUUGAGCAUCCAUUACUGUUAUAUCUCAGAAGAAAUGCUUCCCUUCAGGACUUCCUCCUUAUUUAUUAAAUUGUCUUGAGGGAGAAAAAUGUGAAUGGGACUGAAAUUGUGGCCCAACUGUUGGGAGUGCUCUUGUUGUUAUGGGAGAGGUGUGGUGAUGCUGUGCUUCUUGAAACAGCAAAUCUGCUACUUCCAGUGGCUGAGGCACGUUCCAAGUGCACUGAGGUCCAGACCCCUUUUCUGAGUUAGGCAGCUCUGAAAUUAACUUUAUCUCUCUGCCUUCCCUUUACUGGCAUUUUUACUUUAUUUUAGGCAUUAGUUUCCUUCAUGUAUUUUUUUGUCAUUACAAUUACUAAAAAAUGCAGGACUAGUUUGGGUUAUCCACCUAAAUAUCUUAACAGACAUCCUGUGAUACUUGCCCUUCUCC